UACGGAGGGGGCUAGCGUUGUUCGGAAUCACUGGGCGUAAAGGGCGCGUAGGCUGCGGGGCAAGUCGGGUGUGAAAUCUCAGAGCUCAACUCUGAAACUGCACUCGAUACUGCUUUGCUUGAGGACUGGAGAGGAGAUUGGAAUUCACGGUGUAGCAGUGAAAUGCGUAGAUAUCGUGAGGAAGACCAGUGGCGAAGGCGGAUCUCUGGACAGUUCCUGACGCUGAGGCGCGAAGGCCAGGGGAGCAAACGGG
rnacentral:rRNA from 1 species